rnacentral:rRNA from 1 species
CCUACGGGUGGCAGCAGUGGGGGAUAUUGCACAAUGGGGGGAACCCUGAUGCAGCGACGCCGCGUGGGUGAAGAAGCGCCUCGGCGCGUAAAGCCCUGUCAGCAGGGAAGAAAAUGACGGUACCUGUAGCAGAAGCCCCGGCCAACUACGUGCCAGAAGCCGCGGUAAGACGGAGGGGGCAAGCGUGAUCCGGAUGUACUGGGCGUAAAGGGGGCGCAGGCGGCGGUGCAAGCCCGGAGUGAAAGCCCGGGGCCCAACCCCGGGACUGCGCUUGGAACUGGGUGGCUGGAGUGCAGGAGGGGCAGGCGGAAUGCCUGGUGUAGCGGUGAAAUGCGUAGAUAUCAGGAGGAACACCGGUGGCGAAGGCGGCCUGCUGGACUGCAACUGACGUUGAGGCCCGAAAGCGUGGGGAGCAAACAGGAUUAGAUACCCCAGUAGUC